AAACUGUUCCAGUGCCUCACCAUCCUCACGGAGGGCAAACACAUACUGGAGGAAAACCUGGACUCUUUUUCUCAGUCAGUGAAUGUGGUAACUGAAUGAGCCCAACAACCAAAUCCAGAUUUGGACCAUUUUACUGCAGAAUAUAAAUGACUGAGAGACUGAGAUCAUCAAAUCCAAUCCUCUCCCGCUGCAGGCACAUAGAUGAUGGACUGCAAGUCUAAAUGGUGAAGAGAACAUCUUUUGCCGUGAGUCCCACAGCUACACUGUUAUAUACAGACAGACAGGAAAAGGUGUCUGCCCUGGGGAGAAAAAGGUUGCCAACUGGUGGAGAUGGCUCUUUGGAAGGGAUAGGAUCUUCUCCAUUUGACAAGGCAUGACGAUUCUGCCCCUUCUUCUCUAGCCUUCAUAUUAUAUCAUACAUACCAUCCUUGUAAUUUAAAUUGCACGUAGGUACAACCCCCCGCCUACUGCAUCAGUUCUUAGAGAUAAAAUCACUUUGUUGUCCGCUGAAUUCAACCACAUCACCAAUGGCAGCAAAUGCCCUCUACUCUAGCCCAUUACUCCGCGUCUCCAUCCUUCAGAUCUGAUGUUAAGGGACCACCA